rnacentral:rRNA from 1 species
UGGGGAUCUGCCCUUAGGUACGGAAUAACUCAGGGAAACUUGAGCUAAUACCGUAUAAUGACUUCGGUCCAAAGAUUUAUCGCCUAGGGAUGAACCCGCGUAGGAUUAGCUUGUUGGUGAGGUAAAGGCUCACCAAGGCGACGAUCCUUAGCUGGUCUGAGAGGAUGAUCAGCCACACUGGGACUGAGACACGGCCCAGACUCCUACGGGAGGCAG